AGGGGGGAGAUCACAGAAAAUAGCCUGGAGCCCCAGGGAAGUUCUACCUGCUGCACAUCCAUGGCUUCUUGGAGGAGGUUUCCCCUUCUUGAAAUAGUCAACAUGAUUGAGCCCUGUGUGUCAGGCACUAUGCCAGGCACUUCUGCACCUUUUACAAUAAUCUGAUGUAUUUACUAUUAUAUAAAUUUUACAGAUGAGGAAACAGACUCAGAAGGUAAAGCAGCUGCCAAGCAACAGUGGAAGGGCUGCCUCACAUCUGACUCUGCUCUGCAUCUCUCCGACCCCUCAUAGCAGCUCCAGACUCCACAGUGAGAACAGAACUGACCAGCCUGGAUGUCUGGACUCAGCCUGGCUGGGGGCAUCACCAGGGCCGCUGUUCUCCCUCCUUCCAGGGAAAUAAUCACCCCUCCUAUUUUCCCUGAAUCCAUGAUGUGGAGAGAUGAAUAAUAACCCACUGUAAGAUGUCCACAUCCUAACUCCUGGAGCUUGUGAGCAUUGUCUUACGUGGUAAAGAAGGACUUUACAGAUGUGAUUGAGUUCAAGAUCUUAUAACAGAUCAUUCGGGAUUUUUCAGGUCCAUGGUCUGAUGGGCAUAUCUCAGGUUUCCAGGACAGGCUGCCCUUGUCCAGGUCUGAAUACUCACACAUAUUACUCAGAAUCCUUAUGUAUCUAUUUGACAAUGACACUCCUGCAGCUCUGGGUCAGAGUGUUCCAAAGCAGACACCUCCAUCAGCUGGGCAAGUCCUACAAGGCAGCCUCUGAGGGUCAGGGGA